UAUCAGAAGUGCGAAUGCUGACAUAAGUAACGAUAAAGCGGGUGAAAAGCCCGCUCGCCGGAAGACCAAGGGUUCCUGUCCAACGUUAAUCGGGGCAGGGUGAGUCGACCCCUAAGGCGAGGCCGAAAGGCGUAGUCGAUGGGAAACAGGUUAAUAUUCCUGUACUUGGUGUUACUGCGAAGGGGGGACGGAGAAGGCUAUGUUGGCCGGGCGACGGUUGUCCCGGUUUAAGCGUGUAGGCUGGUUUUCCAGGCAAAUCCGGAAAAUCAAGGCUGAGGCGUGAUGACGAGGCACUACGGUGCUGAAGCAACAAAUGCCCUGCUUCCAGGAAAAGCCUCUAAGCAUCAGGUAACAUCAAAUCGUACCCCAAACCGACACAGGUGGUCAGGUAGAGAAUACCAAGGCGCUUGAGAGAACUCGGGUGAAGGAACUAGGCAAAAUGGUGCCGUAACUUCGGGAGAAGGCACGCUGAUAUGUAGGUGAAGUCCCUCGCGGAUGGAGCUGAAAUCAGUCGAAGAUACCAGCUGGCUGCAACUGUUUAUUAAAAACACAGCACUGUGCAAACACGAAAGUGGACGUAUACGGUGUGACGCCUGCCCGGUGCCGGAAGGUUAAUUGAUGGGGUUAGCGCAAGCGAAGCUCUUGAUCGAAGCCCCGGUAAACGGCGGCCGUAACUAUAACGGUCCUAAGGUAGCGAAAUUCCUUGUCGGGUAAGUUCCGACCUGCACGAAUGGCGUAAUGAUGGCCAGGCUGUCUCCACCCGAGACUCAGUGAAAUUGAACUCGCUGUGAAGAUGCAGUGUACCCGCGGCAAGACGGAAAGACCCCGUGAACCUUUACUAUAGCUUGACACUGAACAUUGAGCCUUGAUGUGUAGGAUAGGUGGGAGGCUUUGAAGUGUGGACGCCAGUCUGCAUGGAGCCGGCCUUGAAAUACCACCCUUUAAUGUUUGAUGUUCUAACGUUGACCCGUGAUCCGGGUUGCGGACAGUGUCUGGUGGGUAGUUUGACUGGGGCGGUCUCCUCCUAAAGAGUAACGGAGGAGCACGAAGGUUGGCUAAUCCUGGUCGGACAUCAGGAGGUUAGUGCAAUGGCAUAAGCCAGCUUGACUGCGAGCGUGACGGCGCGAGCAGGUGCGAAAGCAGGUCAUAGUGAUCCGGUGGUUCUGAAUGGAAGGGCCAUCGCUCAACGGAUAAAAGGUACUCCGGGGAUAACAGGCUGAUACCGCCCAAGAGUUCAUAUCGACGGCGGUGUUUGGCACCUCGAUGUCGGCUCAUCACAUCCUGGGGCUGAAGUAGGUCCCAAGGGUAUGGCUGUUCGCCAUUUAAAGUGGUACGCGAGCUGGGUUUAGAACGUCGUGAGACAGUUCGGUCCCUAUCUGCCGUGGGCGCUGGAGAACUGAGGGGGGCUGCUCCUAGUACGAGAGGACCGGAGUGGACGCAUCACUGGUGUUCGGGUUGUCAUGCCAAUGGCACUGCCCGGUAGCUAAAUGCGGAAGAGAUAAGUGCUGAAAGCAUCUAAGCACGAAACUUGCCCCGAGAUGAGUUCUCCCUGACCCUUUAAGGGUCCUGAAGGAACGUUGAAGACGACAACGUUGAUAGGCCGGGUGUGUAAGCGCAGCGAUGCGUUGAGCUAACCGGUACUAAUGAACCGUGAGGCUUAACC
rnacentral:rRNA from 1 species